rnacentral:rRNA from 1 species
AGUGAACGCUGGCGGUAGGCCUAACACAUGCCAGUCGAACGGCAGCACAGUAAGAGCUUGCUCUUACGGGUGGCGAGUGGCGACGGGUGAGGAAUACAUCGGAAUCUACUUUUUCGUGGGGGAUAACGUAGGGAAACUUACGCUAAUACCGCAUACGACCUACGGGUGAAAGCAGGGGAUCUUCGGACCUUGCGCGAUUGAAUGAGCCGAUGUCGGAUUAGCUAGUUGGCGGGGUAAAGGCCCACCAAGGCGACGAUCCGUAGCUGGUCUGAGAGGAUGAUCGGCCACACUGGAACUGAGACACGGUCCAGACUCCUACGGGAGGCAGCAGUGGGGAAUAUUGGACAAUGGGCGCAAGCCUGAUCCAGCCAUACCGCGUGGGUGAAGAAGGCCUUCGGGUUGUAAAGCCCUUUUGUUGGGAAAGAAAAGCAGCAGGUUAAUACCCCGCUGUUCUGACGGUACCCAAAGAAUAAGCACCGGCUAACUUCGUG